GUGGUCGUUUCACUACAGAGGGAUUCUCUGUGGUGAAAUGAAUUUGGUCAGGAUAAGUUGAUGACAGUUCCAUCAGAGGCCUCAAGUGGUGGCUCCUCAACAAGUUGGCUUUUUAAAAAUAAAGAACACGGCAAAGCCUUCUCCCUGCAUUUUAGGGUAUGAUCCUGCAAUGGGAUGUCGAUAAUGGACUUGCACAAAUUGACAAGUACUUCCACAGUACUGACAAUAAUGUAAUUGCGGUCGCUCAAUUGGCAGUUGGGGUAGUAAAAUGUUCUGUCAAGAAUGAGUGUGAUCCUGCAUUAGCAAUUUAGCACUCCUUACAGAGUAUAUAGACAGAGAUGAUGCUUCGAUUAGAAUUGGUGUAAUAAUGGGGCUUGGACUUGCAUAUGGAGGUUCUCAGAAUGAGGUGUGAUUCUGUGCAUGUAUUGUUGUUGUUCAUCUAUUGCACCAUGGCUCUGUUAUGACUUAUGAUUCUAAAUUCAAUUUUUCAGUGUCCUACAGGU